rnacentral:rRNA from 1 species
UACAAGAGGCAGCCAGUGUUCGGCGAUUGACUGGGCGUAAAGCGCACGCAGGCGGAUGCGCGCGUGGGGUGUGAAAUCUGGCCGCUUAACGGCCAGGCGCCAUCCCAUACGGCGCGUCUGGAGUGAUGCAGAGGUCGAUGGAAUUGCCGGUGUAGUGGUGAAAUGCGUAGAGAUCGGCAGGAACACCCAGGGGGAAACCAGUCGACUGGGCAUCUACUGACGCUGAGGUGCGAGAGCGUGGGGAGCGAACCGG